rnacentral:rRNA from 1 species
UACGGGGGGGGCAAGCGUUGUUCGGAAUUACUGGGCGUAAAGGGCGCGUAGGCGGUUUGCUAAGUCGAAUGUGAAAACUCUGGGCUUAACCCAGAGCCUGCAUUCGAUACGGGCAGACUAGAGUUCGGUAGGGGAGUCUGGAAUUCCUGGUGUAGCGGUGAAAUGCGCAGAUAUCAGGAGGAACACCGGUGGCGAAGGCGGGACUCUGGGCCGAUACUGACGCUGAGACGCGAAAGCGUGGGGAGCAAACAGG